rnacentral:rRNA from 1 species
GACGAACGCUGGCGGCGUGCCUAAUACAUGCAAGUCGAGCGAAGCGGCGGAUGGGUGAGUAACGCGUGGGUAACCUGCCCUUAAGUCUGUGAUACCAUUUGUAAACAGAUGCUACUACCGGAUACUUAUGGAUGGACCUGCGAUGCAUUAGCUAGUUGGUAAGGUAACGGCUUACCAAGGCGAUGAUGCAUAGCCGAGUUGAGAGACUGAUCGGCCACAUUGGGACUGAGACACGGCCCAAACUCCUACGGGAGGCAGCAGUGGGGAAUAUUGCACAAUGGGCGAAAGCCUGAUGCAGCCAUGCCGCGUGUAUGAAGAAGGCCUUCGGGUUGUAAAGUAAUUUCAGCGAGGAGGCGUUACUAGAAGAAGAAGCACCGGCUAACUCCGUGCCAGCAGAAGCGGUAAGAC